rnacentral:lncRNA from 1 species
GCUAAAACCAGAGGGGUUGCCUCCACAAUUAUCAAAAGGAUUUUAGGAAAAUAUGAACAUUUUAUUGGGUCAAAACAGAAGGUUUUUAAACUACCACAAAAUAAUUGGAAGGGGGGAGUUUUGAAGUCAUGGUGCAACAAGGGUGUUUUGAGAAGAUCCUUGUUAUGCCCACACCACAUAACUAGCACAUGCCAUUCUCAUCCAUGCACUUUACUCAAGCACCAAGGUGCAACAAACCACACAAGAUGCAAACAUGAUGCCAUGACGCACAUGAAAUGAUGUCCCCAAAACUCAUACCACUCAA